AUUGAACGCUAGCGGGAUGCCUUACACAUGCAAGUCGAACGGCAGCAUAAGAGAGCUUGCUCUCUUGAUGGCGAGUGGCGAACGGGUGAGUAAUGUAUCGGAACGUGCCCAGUAGCGGGGGAUAACUACGCGAAAGCAUAGCUAAUACCGCAUAAGCCCACGGCCCGGCAUCGGGCUGAGGGAAAAGGAUUUAUUCGCUUCAGGAUGGACUCGCGUCCAAUUAGCUAGUUGGUGAGGUAACGGCCCACCAAGGCGACGAUUGGUAGCCGGACUGAGAGGUUGAACGGCCACAUUGGGACUGAGACACGGCCCAG
rnacentral:rRNA from 1 species